rnacentral:rRNA from 1 species
UACGUAGGGGGCAAGCGUUGUCCGGAAUCAUUGGGCGUAAAGCGCGUGUAGGCGGCCCGGUAAGUCCGCUGUGAAAGUCGGGGGCUCAACCCUCGAAUGCCGGUGGAUACUGUCGGGCUAGAGUGCGGGAGAGGCGAGUGGAAUUCCGUGGUGACUAGACGGUGAAAUGCGCAGGAAUAUCAGGAGGACACCAAUUGCGAAGGCGCUCGCUGGAACGUAACUGGACGCUGGAGAACGCGAAAGACCGUGGGGAGCAAACAGGA